AAGCGCGCUUGGGCAGAAGGCAGGCACAUGUCCCCUUCUACCAAAGGUGCGCCCCGAGGACCGGCGGUGUCAGUGCCGCCUGCGGGCUUGUUACAGGUGCAGGAUCUUGGGGCUCAUCUCAGCCCCUGAACCCGAACCUGCAUUUAAACAAGACCCCCAGGUGAUUCUCACACAUUAAAGACUUUUGGAGACUAAGUAUUUGUAUUCACAUGUCCCUUAAAAUAAUAGUCUAACACAUUCUUUAAUUUCACUGUUUAGUGAUAACUUUGGAUUUUGAUUUGGUUUUCAAAGGAUAGUACUAAAUAUUUUAAGCUUCUGCCAUUCCUCCCUGCAAGAACCUGUGGCAAUGCCUAACAGUUCAAGCCUGUGCUCUGGAAGGAAAGCUCUUACCCAAAGCAACUUUGCAUAUAUUAUGCAAUGGGAAUCGUUCUUCAAGAAACUAGGCCUUGAAAAAUCCUGAAGGAUAGUUUUUGAAUCACUACAGCUACGGUGCCAAGAGCUGUGCUAAUCUGGAGAAGCAGGCAGGGUUCUCAAGCUGCCCGUCGGCCUGCAGAACAGAAGGUGCUGCGGGCCGGGUGGGAGUGAAAGCAGGCCUCCUUGCAGUUGACUUAUUCUGCGGCUGCCCUUCCCAAACGUCAGCAAAUAUUUUGUGAUGUUGCAAGGUGUUACGAGAAGCGAAAAGCAAGCUGUGAUUCAGCUGGUGUGAAGACUUCGCAAACAAAAAGGAGUGAUCUGUUUUGCAGCAAACUAUUAUUUCUACCAGAGCCCACAGACUGGAAUACUGAAAGAAAUAUUUAUGCAAGACAUUUCCUUCCUACAUAUUGGAUUUUCUAACUAAGACCAAUUUCAAAUUAAUUGGCCCAGCAGGUCCUAACCUGUGCACCGCAGACCCCUGGGAGCUGCGUACCUCAAGGCAUCUGCAAACCCAUGAGCAUGUUCUGACUGUAGACGGGAUGAAAAAUGUGCUCAUUCAUAUGGAUUACUUCUCAAAUAUGCAUAGAUGUUGCGAUGAAUAAAAGAAACUAACUUACAAUGUUCUGAAUACA